UAUACCCCCGGCAAAGCCGGCCUGCAGACAAGAAGCACUUUCUCAACUGCACUGUCAAUCUAAAAACAUCUUUCCCCAAAUGAAGCCAAUCUGCCUUCACUCACGGCACUGAAAGCUGGAGAGCCGGACCAGACGGCACAAAAAGAGAAACAAGCAAACACGCAGGAACACAAAGCCGGCAAAAAUCAUGGGACACUUGCCUUUGAACUGGGCUUAAAAUAAAUUGAAGUGUAGCAUGG
rnacentral:lncRNA from 1 species